rnacentral:rRNA from 1 species
GCACAAGCGGUGGAGCAUGUGGUUUAAUUCGACGCAACGCGAAGAGCCUUACCUGGGCUUGACAUGACCGUCAUACCCGUGGAAACACGGGGUCAGUUCGGCUGGACGGCCACAGGUGGUGCAUGGCUGUCGUCAGCUCGUGUCGUGAGAUGUUGGGUUAAGUCCCGCAACGAGCGCAACCCCCGUCGUAUGUUGCCAGCAUUUAGUUGGGGACUCAUGCGAGACUGCCGGUGACAAACCGGAGGAAGGUGGGGAUGACGUCAAGUCAUCAUGCCCCUUAUGUCCAGGGCUACACACGUGCUACAUUGGCGCGUACAGAGGGCUGCGAUACCGCGAGGUGGAGCGAAUCCCUUAAAGCGCGUCUCGGUUCGGAUUGCAGGCUGAAACUCGCCUGCAUGAAGGCGGAGUUGCUAGUAAUCGCGGAUCAGCAUUGCCGCGGUGAAUACGUUCCCGGGC